rnacentral:tRNA from 2 species
UCCCCGAUAGCUCAACGGUAGAGCGAGCGGCUGUUAACCGCUAGGUUGUAGGUUCGAAUCCUACUCGGGGAG